rnacentral:rRNA from 1 species
GAUGAACGCUAGCGACAGGCCUAACACAUGCAAGUCGAGGGGCAGCACGGUGUAGCAAUACACGGGUGGCGACCGGCGCACGGGUGAGUAACGCGUAUGCAACCUGCCUACUACAAGGGGAUAACCCGUUGAAAGACGGACUAAUACCCUAUAACACAGGGAAUCCGCAUGGAUAUAUUUGUUAAAGAUUUAUCGGUAGUAGAUGGGCAUGCGUUCCAUUAGCUUGUUGGUGAGGUAACGGCUCACCAAGGCAACGAUGGAUAGGGGAACUGAGAGGUUGAUCCCCCACACUGGAACUGAGACACGGUCCAGACUCCUACGGGAGCAGCAGUGAGGAAUAUUGGCAAUGGACGAGAGUCUGAACCAGCCAAGUCGCGUGAAGGAAGACGGCCCUAGGGUUGUAAACUUCUUUUGUAAGGGAAUAAAGUAGUCUUACGCGCUAAGCGUUGCAGGUACCUUACGAAUAAGGAUCGGACUAACUCCGUGCCAGCAGCCGGGUAAAAUC